GCUGGGUGUGGUGGCGCAUGCCUGUAAUCCCAGCUACUCAGGAGGCUGAGGCAGGAGAAUCACUUGAACCUGGGAGGCGGAGGUUGCAGUGAGCUGAAAUCAUGCCACAGAACUCCAGCCUAGGCGACAGAGUGAUAUUCUGUCUCGG
rnacentral:SRP_RNA from 1 species